rnacentral:rRNA from 1 species
CCAGAGUCUGAAUCAGCUUGUGUGUUAGUGGAACGGUCUGGAAAGUCCGACGGUACAGGGUGAUAGUCCCGUACACCAAAAUGCACAGGCUGUGAACUCGAAGAGUAGGGCGGGACACGUGGUAUCCUGUCUGAAUAUGGGGGGACCAUCCUCCAAGGCUAAAUACUCCUGACUGACCGAUAGUGAACCAGUACCGUGAGGGAAAGGCGAAAAGAACCCCGGCGAGGGGAGUGAAAAAGAACCUGAAACCGUGUACGUACAAGCAGUGGGAGCACCUUCGGGUGUGACUGCGUACCUUUUGUAUAAUGGGUCAGCGACUUAUAUUCUGUAGCAAGGUUAACCGUAUAGGGGAGCCGCAGGGAAACCGAGUCUUAACUGGGCGUUAAGUUGCAGGGUAUAGACCCGAAACCCGGUGAUCUAGCCAUGGGCAGGUUGAAGGUUGGGUAACACUAACUGGAGGACCGAACCGACUAAUGUUGAAAAAUUAGCGGAUGACUUGUGGCUGGGGGUGAAAGGCCAAUCAAACCGGGAGAUAGCUGGUUCUCCCCGAAAGCU